rnacentral:lncRNA from 1 species
ACCUUGUAGCUUACUGGCUUGUGUCUGAUGCACAAUGCAGAAGGGCAAAGGUUCGAAGGCUAGUUCGGUGGUGCUUGGAGGAGGUGGUGGUGUUGCCAUUUGUUGUAGCUGUUGUUGUUGUUGUUAUUAUUAUUAUUACAUAUAAAAAGAGGUAUUCUAAAAUACCUUUUAUUUUUUAUUUUUAUUACUUUGGAGUAAAAUACAUGGUGGCAGAAAUAUGGGUAUGGUUUGGUAUGGGACCAGCUUAGCCGAAAGAGUAUGGGUACUCUUGUUUAGCGGCGGCGGCGGCAGCAGCCUCAUCUACUGCUUAUUUGAGAUAUUCACGAUCUCUUGACAUUGGAGAGUUCGCCAUACAUGAUCUAUGCCACUGUAAUGAUAUCCUAGUGCGUAUUGAUUCUUCUCAUAUAUGUAGUUAUGAGUUCUAGGUCCAUCGUCCUCCAUGCGUGAUCCAACUUCUUCUCGCUGAUAGAAUCGCAGUAGCUGUCCCUCGUUACUUUCUUAUUUUUCUUAUCUUUUCUGCUUCAAUAAUGCCGUACA